UGGGGUUUUGAAAAUAUAGAUAUACUUGAACGUGUACAUUUACAAUUUUGUAAAAUGAUUUUACAUUUAAAACAGUCUACUCCAAAUUUCAUAGUGUAUGCAGAACUUGGCAGAUACCCUAUUACUGUGUCUGUAAAACUGCGAAUGAUUAAUUUCUGGAGUAGACUUCUUAAUGGAAAAGAAAGUAAAAUUUGUGCUGUAUUAUAUAAACUUGUAUUUUUAUAUUAUAAUGAUUACGGAAUAGACACUAAGUGGAUAUCAUAUAUUAAAAAUAUUUUUGAUAAUUGUGGUAUGUCCAAUAUAUGGAAUGCACAGUUUGCUGAUAAAUGGGUGUCAAAAUGUAUUGAGCAAAAACUCAAAGAUCAGUUUCAACAAGAAUGCUUUGCAUUUGUUGCAGAAUCACCUAAAACUUUAUGCUAUCGUAUUUUUAAAAAUAAUUUUCAAUUGGAAAAAUAUUUUUCUGUUUUACCUUACAAAUUCAUUUAUACAUUAUGCAAAUAUAGAUGUGGUAGUCACCACUUGCCGAUUGAGUCUGGAAGGUGGCAGGGUUUACCGAGAGAAGACAGAAUCUGCCGUCUCUGUGACUCAAACGACAUUGGUGACGAGUACCAUUAUAUUAUGAAUUGUGGAUCUUUUAUGUUUGAAAGAAAGAAAUUUUUACCUACAUACUGCUGGUCUAACCCUAAUAUCUAUAAGUUUGAUCAACUGUUUAAUUCAUGUAAUAUUGUAAUAUUAGAAAAACUAUGUAAAUUUAUCAAAGUUAUAAAUGUGAAAGUCAGUCCUCCAAGUUAAUUUCAUUGUAUUGUUCACACAUGCUUGUAAAAAUUGUACCUUAUAGUUAUAUUUAUG
rnacentral:lncRNA from 1 species